GAUGAACGCUGGCGGCGUGCCUAAUACAUGCAAGUCGAGCGAACAGAUGAGGAGCUUGCUCCUCUGACGUUAGCGGCGGACGGGUGAGUAACACGUGGAUAACCUACCUAUAAGACUGGGAUAACUUCGGGAAACCGGAGCUAAUACCGGAUAAUAUAUUGAACCGCAUGGUUCAAUAGUGAAAGACGGUUUUGCUGUCACUUAUAGAUGGAUCCGCGCCGCAUUAGCUAGUUGGUAAGGUAACGGCUACCAAGGCAACGAUGCGUAGCCGACCUGAGAGGGUGAUCGGCCACACUGGAACUGAGACACGGUCCAGACUCCUACGGGAGGCAGCAGUAGGGAAUCUUCCGCAAUGGGCGAAAGCCUGACGGAGCAACGCCGCGUGAGUGAUGAAGGUCUUCGGAUCGUAAAACUCUGUUAUUAGGGAAGAACAAAUGUGUAAGUAACUAUGCACGUCUUGACGGUACCUAAUCAGAAAGCCACGGCUAACUACGUG
rnacentral:rRNA from 1 species